rnacentral:misc_RNA from 1 species
UUUCCGUAGGUGAACCUGCGGAAGGAUCAUUAUUGAAUGAGACACUUCUGGCUUUAUGCUGUUGUGCUGGCCCUUUGGGCAAUGUGCACACGGCUCUGGUCACUUGUUUCUUCUGUUCCACCUGUGCACUGCCUGUAGACACGCUGUGUCUAUGAUAUUUGUUAACACACAACAAUGUUAGUUGGCAUGUUAUAUAUAAUAAUAAAAUAUACGACUUUCAACAACGGAUCUCUUGGCUCUC